GUUGCGGUCACCAGCAAUUCCUCCGCCGUUGCUUCAACAAGUCCCUGUCUCGGCUCCAAAAGGCCACACCCACCACCCCGGCUCUUCGGGGGUUUCCUCUCGCAUCGGAAGACUGCGCGCUUCAUCCUUACCGGCGGGGACAUUUCCUCCUGCUCAGUCCCGCCAUCUCACUCGCGGACCCGUGACACCUCCCUCAUCCACGUCUCCGCGCGGUCGCGCCCCGACCCGCCGGCGCCCCCGCCCCAGCCCCAGCCCCAGCCCCAAACCGAUGGUCGCCCUGACUCUGCGCCUGCGCCGCUUCAGGGACCACCCGCCCGCCAGCCCCGCUGACCCAGGCCCCCGGGGGAGGGCAGGGGAGGGGCCGGGCGCACAGCGCGCAAAGGGUGCUCCCGGGUCCUGCCUACGCGCGAGAAACGGUUCUUCACUGUCCCUCCCAUCCCUGCACACCGUGGGGCGGUGCACCCUCCCGACGUGUGACGGCAAGGACAGCCAAAGGAUGAGGAGGCAGACGGAGAAUGGAAGAAUCCCUGCGCCUCACCUCUCGCUUAGAUGUGGUGCUUUCAUGCCCGCAUCCUCCUGUGCUGGCCCUGCCUGUACUCCCCGCACAACUGGCCCACAUUGAAGCCCACCCUCCCGCUAUUCUUCUGCAGGAGCUAAGGCCCCCAGCCAGGUGGAGGAUGGUAACUUCAGGCUGAGCACGAGGUUCCUGGAGCACCGCCCUGUUACCUCACCACCAACCAAUCAGAAGAAAGUCACACACCCUGCAGCCCUCACCCCAAAUUUUGCCUGUAAAAACUUCUCUCUGAAAACCGUCGAGGAGGUCAGGUUUUUUGAGCACGAGCUGCCCAUUCUCCUUACUUGGCCCUGCAAUAAACCUUC